CAACAAGAUCAUAGAGGAUGCUGAAGCAGAGGGUGUGAAUGAGGGACCAGAACCUGCAUGGACAGACCAGUGUUGAAACUCAAAUCAGCGCAGCGUGUUUUGAAAGUGAUGGGAUCAAAUCAACAAGUCAAGGUUCAUCUGUUGACCUUGGGAGAAAAAUUGUGAAGAGGAAUUAAAAUGAAAUUAUGCUGGUCUGGCUACACAUAAUCAAAUAAAACUAAGACUCUAUGGUGA